UGUUGCUGUCUGGCUGUGUUGCUGUCAGGCUCUGUUGCUGUCAGGUUGUGUUGCUGUCUGGCUGUGUUGCUGUCAGGCUGUGUUGCUGUCAGGCUGUGUUGCUGUCUGGCUGUGUUGCUGUCAGGCUGUGUUGCUGUCUGGCUGUGUUGCUGUCUGGCUGUGUUGCUGUCUGGCUCUGUGAGGAAUACUCUCCUGAUGUAUCACACGUAUCCUUCAUUGCAUAGUUUGGAGGUUGUUGCUAAGGAAGUUGUUGCUAAGGAAGUUGUUGCUAAGGAAGUUGUUGCUAAGGAAGUUGUUGCUAAGGAAGUUGUUGCUAAGGAGUUCUUUUAAGCUUUUCAAUUGAAUUGUUUUCUUUUUGCAGGGACUUUCAGUUUGUCAGCCAGAGUUGGUUUAUGUCAGCUCUCCUCUCUCUCCUUUUUAGUUCUCCCUCCCUCCCUUCUUCUCUCCCUCCUUUCUCUCCACUCCUGCGGCAGUAAUGACUAGCUUUCCCUCUGAGGAGAGAUGUCACUCUCGACAAUGAGAGCAAAUUGUAUCUGUUCUUUUGAGCUACACCAUUACCCCUGAAACUCAUGUUGCUCUCUCCAUCUCUUUCCUUCACACUCUCUUUCUCUCCUUUCUCUUUAAGUUUCUCUCCAUCUUUCUUUUUCUCCUUCUCUCCCCCCCCCCCCCCACUGUUCAGAGACAUUCCGUUGUACGUUCUGUCAGACAGAGGUAGAGAAGGAUGAGUCUGGUGACCCGUUUCAACGAACAGAUCGAGCCCAUCUAUGUGCUGCUGAGUGAGACCGAGGAAGUCCAGCUAUCAAACAACCUGCUGGAGCCCGAGCCUGCCGAGAUCAGAUCCCCGGCCUCUAAUAGAGACCUCCACCUUCCUCCUCGUCUUCUGGCCUGCUCAGAAAAGUCACAUGAGUUGGUGUGGUUGACGAGCAGCUCCCAGGGAUUCGGUGUGGUUGACGAGAGGCUCCCAGGGAUUCGGUGUGGUGGACGAGAGGCUCCCAGGGAUUCGGUGUGGUUGACGAGGGGCUUCCAGGGAUUUGCGGACACAGGGACUUGUUUGUUUGUACCCUGCCUGCCUGCCACUGUCUCCUGGCCAAAUGAGCACAGUGCCUCAUCGGGAAACUACAAAUGAAUUUGUUUCUGACUCAUUCAUUUUCCUGGCGUUUCUCAUUAAGCCAGCAGGUCUCUCAUAUUGUUUAAUUCUAUUAGUCACAGGUCUUUUGCAUAGGAUGUUAUAUUGCUUGACUGGCUGAUUCUGAUCAAAGACCAACCUUUGUAAGGAGUGGCCUGUGAAAACACAGUUUAAUCUUCGCAAAUGUCAACAAUAUAGAGCGAUUAGUACUUCAGCAUGACCCCUAAUGUUCUCAACCUUUCUGAUAAAGUCUUGUUUUGAAAGUGUGAGCUUGCUCUCUGUUAUUAAAAUGAUCUAAUUAAUCCCACCUCAUUAAAAGUGAAUCGAUGUUCUGAUCAAUGAGUGGUUUGUGGCUAGAAGUAUUUCGCAAUUAGUUUGAAAGUUUUACCCAAUCUCAGUCUCGUACAACUUCCUGUAUACUUUAUGAUGUAGCAUGGUACCCAGACUACUACAACAGUUACUGCUAACAUUUAGUCAUGUAGCUAACCAGACAACAGAUACUGCUAACAUUUGGUCUCGUAGCUAACCAGACAACAGUUACUGCUAACAUUUAGUCCUGUAGCUAACCAGACAACAGUUACUGCUAACAUUUAGUCCUGUAGCUAACAGGACAACAGUUACUUCUAACAUUUAGUCUCGUAGCUAACCAGACAACAGUUACUGCUAACAUUUAGUCCCG
ensembl:lncRNA